rnacentral:rRNA from 1 species
CCUACGGGAGGCAGCAGUGAGGAAUAUUGGUCAAUGGACGCAAGUCUGAACCAGCCAUGCCGCGUGCAGGAUGACGGCUCUAUGAGUUGUAAACUGCUUUUGUACGAGGGUAAACCCCGAUACGUGUAUCGGGUUGAAAGUAUCGUACGAAUAAGGAUCGGCUAACUCCGUGCCAGCAGCCGCGGUAAUACGGAGGAUCCGAGCGUUAUCCGGAUUUAUUGGGUGUAAAGGGUGCGUAGGCGGUUUGAUAAGUUAGAGGUGAAAUGUCGGGGCGCAACCCCGAAACUGCCUCUAAUACUGUUGGACUAGAGAAUAGUUGCGGUAGGCGGAAUGUAUGGUGUAGCGGUGAAAGGCUUAGAGAUCAUACAGAACACCGAUUGCGAAGGCAGCUUACCAAACUAUAUCUGACGUUGAGGCACGAAAGCGUGGGUAGCAAACAGGAUUAGAUACCCCUGUAGUC